AUCCAGCUGACGAAUCUUAAACAGGACGAAACGCGCGUCCUGGAU
rnacentral:hammerhead_ribozyme from 1 species